AGCAUACUAAAAUGAAGCGAUCAAUGAGGCUGCAAGACCAAAACUGAUUUAAUAACUUUGUGUUUUACUCAUUUCAAAACCCAGUGAUGGCAACAGUACCAGUGAGCCUUUGCAAUGCACAUGGCUAAGCUGCUAUAAAGUCACCAGGGCUGAUCUUCAUAAAGAGAUUUAAAAAUGACAUUGAGAUAUUUUAAGCAGAGAUCAUUUAAUUUUUUCUCUGUGAGUUUUAUAGUUAGGUGAUUCAGGAGCUGAUUUGUUACACCAGACAGCACGGAUGCAUCUUUCCCCUUGACUCUCAAAAGUCCAAUGGGCAACGGAAGCAGGAUCUCCUGAGUAUUAAAGAGGAUGUCUUUAAAGAAAAGGACUCUGGGCUGCCUAAUCACUGCUACUAGGUGUGCUCCCCAAAGCUGGAUUUUCCCCCUCUUAGAGGACAGGUGGAUCAACCUUCUGCCAUGGAAGUGAGAGGGAAUGCAGUGGAGGGGAAGAAGCUACCAUUGUUUUUUAUUGCAAAAAGAAAUGGAUGAAAAGCAGUCAGCUUUGAGUCUUUGAAAAGGAAAAUAAACUACAG
ensembl:lncRNA